rnacentral:rRNA from 1 species
UAGGGAAUCUUCCGCAAUGGACGCAAGUCUGACGGAGCAACGCCGCGUGAGUGAAGAAGGAUUUCGGUUCGUAAAACUCUGUUGUUAGAGAAGAACAGCGCAUAGAGUAACUGUUAUGCGUGUGACGGUAUCUAACUAGAAAGCCACGGCUAACUACGUGCCAGCAGCCGCGGUAAUACGUAGGUUGCAAGCGUUGUCCGGACUUUUUGGGCGUAAAGCGAGCGCAGGCGGUCAAUUAAGUCUGAUGUGAAAGCCCCCGGCUCAGCCGGGGAGGGUCAUGAGAAACUGGUUGACUUGAGUGCAGAAGAGGAGAGUGGAAGUCCAUGGGUAGCGGUGAAAUGCGUAGAUAUAUGGAGGAACACCAGUGGCGAAGGCGACUCUCUGGUCAGUAACUGACGCUGAGGCUCGAAAGCGUGGGUAGCAAACAGG